CCUACGGGUGGCAGCAGUGAGGAAUAUUGGUCAAUGGGCGAGAGCCUGAACCAGCCAAGUCGCGUGAGGGAGUACUGCCCUAUGGGUUGUAAACCUCUUUUGUCGGGGAGCAAAAGCCGGACGUGUCCGGCUGUGAGAGUACCCGAAGAAAAAGCAUCGGCUAACUCCGUGCCAGCAGCCGCGGUAAUACGGAGGAUGCGAGCGUUAUCCGGAUUUAUUGGGUUUAAAGGGUGCGCAGGCGGAUUUUUAAGUCAGCGGUAAAAUCGUGGGGCUCAACCCCAUCCAGCCGUUGAAACUGGGGAUCUAGAGUGUGCGAGAGGUAUGCGGAAUGCGUGGUGUAGCGGUGAAAUGCAUAGAUAUCAGGCAGAACCCCGAUUGCGAAGGCAGCAUACCGGUGCACAACUGACGCUCAGGCACGAAAGCGUGGGUAUCGAACAGGAUUAGAUACCCCAGUAGUC
rnacentral:rRNA from 1 species